CUGCUGCCAGCGCUCAGUUGGCGCUCGCUCUGCGCUCUGCCCGUCAGCACUCAGCUGUUGCUGCUGCUGCCUGGGCUUUUCCUGCUGCCUGCUCUGGAGCACCAAUCUCAGCAGGAUGAGCACUGCUGCUCCAGUGGAGACUAACAGAGACACUGUGGAGGAGAUGCAAGUGGACCUGGUGCUGAAUGAGGAAGAAAUGAUGGAGGUGGACGUGGAAGAGCAGGUUGAGGACAUGGAAGUAGAUGUGGAGGAUGACAUCGAGGAGAUGGAAGUGACACUAGGAGGAAUUUCCCCAGGGAAAGGCUGCUCAGGCCUUGGCAGGGGCUGCCCAGGGAGCUUUGCAGUGCCCAUCCCUGCAGCUGUCCCAGGAAGGCCUGCAGGUGGCACUCAGGGCUCUGGGCUGGGGACAAGCUGGGCAUCGAGCACUGCUGGGACUCCAUGGUCUCACAGACCUUUCCCAACCUUAGUGAUUCCAUGAGUCUAUGAUUCUAUGAAGACAUGAUUCAGAACAGAGUUAACUCAAAUCUAUCAUACACAAAUAUUACAGAGGUCAAAAUUCACGUGAAUGAAAUUUAAGAUUAUUC